UUAGUUUAGGAAUGCUAGCAUUAAUUAAACGACUUUAAAGGAAUAAUUGUAUAUUUAAGUGUCUGUUUUACAAUUGGACUGUAAUGCAAAAAUGGAUUGGAUUGCAGAAAACAAAUGCAAUCAAGGGAAAAGACACAGCUGCAGCGUGGAGUAUCUGCUGUUAGGCAGCACAAAAUGAAAAUUAGUGUCGCUGCACAGGAAUUCAAUGUUCCACGUAGUACAUUGUCAGACCAUGUACAUGGGCGUGUUGGCGAGACACGCACAGGUCCAGUGAGCCUAUUAAACGAAGAGGAAGAGGGGGCUCUUGUGAGUUAUCUAUUAUACAUGGCGGAUCAUGGUUUCCCUAUGACACGAAACAGAACCCGUGUUUAUAUUCGGGAAAUCAUUAAGCAAGGAGGUAGGACAUAUCCGUAACAAGGUGUCAGAGAAUGGGCCGUCAGACGAAAGGUUCCGAAAUUUGUUUGCGCGCCACCCGGAACUUCAGGAACGGACGCCCGAGAGUUUGGAUCUGGCACGUUCCUCAGUGUCGAGGGAGGAUGUCAUAUACUCAUUCUUUGACUUUCUGGACAAAAUCCUCACACAGUAUGGUGUAAAAGAUAAACCGUCACAAAUAUUCAACUGUGACGAGACCGGUUGGUCGGGAAAAGAAAAAGCCAAAGAGAAAGUUGCUACUGGAAAAAGGAAGCACACCAUCAGCCGGAAAGUUAUGGGCGGUGGAGGAAACCAUAUAACCGCGCACCUUUGCGUUUGUGCAGAUGGGCGGUUUCUCCCUACACGGAUUAUUUUCAAGGGUUCAUUGCCAUACGCGCGUUUUACCGACGGCGUGCCAGAAACAUGGCUCUAUGGGUGCAGCUCGACGGGGUAUAUCGACCAUGAGUUGUUCCAAACAUGGUUCAUGAAAGGGUUUCUGCCCCACUGUGGGCGAGCAAGGCCGGUUGUGUUGAUCAUGGCAAUCAUGACGCACACAUUUCCCUACCAGUUAUUGAGGCUGCCAGGGCGAACGAUGUUGUGCUGAUCGGGUUUCCCGGCCAUACCACGCACAUCUUGCAGCCGAUGGAUGUGAAGAUAAUUGGCCCGUUAAAGUCAAACAUGGCAUCCCUUGCGUCUGAUCUGGGAAUCGUUUGCCCGUCUUUGACUAUAGGGAAAUCCAAAUACCCUGUUUUACUGAAGUAUGCGAUGGACCGCAUCACACCGUCUACCAUCAUAGGGGCAUUCGUCAAAGCUGGUAUCGUCCCACUAGACAGGGGAGCCAUAGACGAGUCCCAGCUUAUACCGGCGAUGUUUCCCGCUGUGUAAAAUAUUAAUGGAACAGUUUACCUGCAAAAUGAUUAUCUAAUAGCAUAUGUUUAAAAAAAAUGAUACACACCUGGCACACAUCCUCAUAUUUAUUUAUUUGUUUUUCAUAUUAUGAACAUAUGCGUUCUUUUUAGAUGACAACUCGGCCCAGACAUGUAAAGAAUGUGGACGUUUCACGGUUAACCCUCUGGUCAAGGCCGGUCUAGUGCCCGAGUCACUUGCUGACAUUUUAGUACCACCAGCGUCAAAACCUGCAGCUCAACGAAAUAAAAGAAGAAUAGUUACAGAGGGACGAGUAAUAAGUGGUGACGAAAUACUGAAGGAGUUAAUGGAACGAGCGAAAACUUCCGCCGAGAAAGACCGUCGAGAUGCGCAGCGAGCUUUGGAAGCCGACGAGGGGAAAAGGUUGAAAGAGCAGGAAGAAAUUGAAAAGAUUAAGAGAAAAGAGGAACGUGUUGAAAAGCGAUUGGCCAGGGAACAGGAACAGACGAAAAAAGCGGACGAGAAAAGGGAUAGAGGGAAACUUGCUAACAAGAAGUUUACGUGUGGAGUCUGUUGUAUGAGAGGGAGAGUGUUGGAUGAGAGCAAGGGCAUUGUGUGGUUCGGGUGUGAUGAGAAAGUGUGUGGCAAAUGGUACCAUUUUGAAUGUUUGCAUCUUAGCGAGCAAGAAUACUUGCGAGAGGGUAUGGAAGAGGGAGAAAGCUGGUAUUGUAAGACAUGUAAGCCAUGGCUGUAUUGUGAAGAGUGAAUGGCUGUGUCCCUUGUGUUUCUCGUGCACGAGAUUAAUGUGAGCUGCUUUUGACGUUUGUGAUGUAUUGAUUAUUAUAAAACAUUAUGCAUUGAAUCAAACACGUGUUUGGUAUUAAAUAAUCAUCUUAUUAUAAAUAAUACCAAUGAUA